rnacentral:rRNA from 1 species
UACGGAGGGUGCAAGCGUUAUCCGGAUUCACUGGGUUUAAAGGGUGCGUAGGUGGGUUGGUAAGUCAGUGGUGAAAUCCCCGAGCUUAACUUGGGAACUGCCAUUGAUACUAUCAGUCUUGAAUAUUGUGGAGGUUAGCGGAAUAUGUCAUGUAGCGGUGAAAUGCUUAGAUAUGACAUAGAACACCAAUUGCGAAGGCAGCUGGCUACGCAUAUAUUGACACUGAGGCACGAAAGCGUGAGGAUCAAACAGG